CCUCCAAAAUGUCACGUAAAAUUGUAAAUUAGACCAUGCACUUAUUUUACCCAACACAAUUGACAUUCCAUUUUUUAAUUGAUACAUCAACUAAACUACCUGCAACGCCUCGCCCCCAACAUUUCAUUUAUUAAAAUACAGAAUUAACAUUUCACAAUGUCGCACGUUCAGAUAACUCAAAAUACAAAUGAGGAUUCGUGAUGGAUAUGGAAUGUGAAUGCCGCUGAACAUAACCACAGCUCAUGUUCUAUACGGCAAAUUCAAUCCAGCAAAUUAUGAAUCUGUUACAAUACAUACAUUACAGGCAAGUAGUUUAUACAAUUAAAACUAUAUAACAGAUACUAAGAACUAACCUACCGAAUGAUCAGGGGAAAACUUAAUGAGGAUGAUAUGCAAAAUGCCUGGACAUGAAUUGGAGGUACGUAGUUGUCUAUUGAGGAAAAAGAAACUUUGAGUUGAUUCAUGAGGGUUGAAGAUACUCAGAGCUCCGGGCAGAGGCACCAGUACCUCUUCCAACACUACCAAGAAUGCCGAACCAAUAGAAGAUCAACCUGUGCAGCUUGAUAUUGAUAUUGGUAGUAGAUAUUAUAGACCUGAUGAGGUGAUACCUCAAAGACAAUGACACGCUUCACUACAAGGCGAUAACUCAAAGAAGAAGAAGAUUAACAUAGACAAAUUAUGUAACAGAAAAGGACAGGUGCAGAAUAGUUUCUUCUAAAAUUAAGACGAGGUUACCUUUUCAAAGACUUGUGAAGAUUUCUUUUCUUCUUUGACAGUUAUAUUCCUCUGAGCCGUUUCACAGGACGCCUCCCAACUUCGAAGGUCCUGAUCCAGAACCAAAAUCGACCGACAAUUCUCUUAUGUCUCUUCAUAGAGAAACAGAGCUAACACAAACUGAGAGUUGUAUAACUUGGUCUACAUGUUGUUAAGCAUGUUAAUGUUGCAAGUUAGAAUAAAGAACAUGUUACUCAAUAUAUAUCUCUUCUUGGAACGGUUAAAUCAAAAA